AUUGAACGCUGGCGGAAUGCUUUACACAUGCAAGUCGAACGGCAGCACGGGGCAACCUGGUGGCGAGUGGCGAACGGGUGAGUAAUACAUCGGAACGUGCCCAAUCGUGGGGGAUAACGUAGCGAAAGUUACGCUAAUACCGCAUACGAUCUACGGAUGAAAGCGGGGGAUCGCAAGACCUCGCGCGAAUGGAGCGGCCGAUGUCAGAUUAGGUAGUUGGUGGGGUAAAGGCUCACCAAGCCAACGAUCUGUAGCUGGUCUGAGAGGACGACCAGCCACACUGGAACUGAGACACGGUCCAGACUCCUACGGGAGGCAGCAGUGGGGAAUUUUGGACAAUGGGCGCAAGCCUGAUCCAGCCAUUCCGCGUGCAGGAUGAAGGCCUUCGGUUGUAAACUGCUUUGUACGGACGAAACGGUACUGCCUAACUACGGCGGGCUAAUGACGGUACCGUAAGAAUAAGCACCGGCGUAACUACGUAGCCAGCAGACCGCGGUAAGUCACG
rnacentral:rRNA from 1 species